ACAGGGUGCCAGUGCAGAAUGAUGGGUAAUGCAAGCAGCAGCGAAGGAAACAUCUCCAGACGGGAUCUGCACGCUCCUAUUCGUCAGGAUUUGUUGCUGCCAUUGGCGUACAGCGGAUCCCAUCCAGAGUUGUUUCCUCCGCUGCCGCUUGCAUUCCCCAUCAUUCUGCACUGGCACCCCA